rnacentral:rRNA from 1 species
AGAAUCAACGCUGGCGGCGUGCCUAACACAUGCAAGUCGCACGAGAAAGGGGAGCAAUCCCUGAGUACAGUGGCGCACGGGUGAGUAACACGUGAAUAAUCUACCUCCGAGUGGGGAAUAACUGAGAGAAAUCUUAGCUAAUACCGCAUAACACUUACGAGUCAAAGCAGCAAUGCGCUUGGAGAGGAGUUCGCGGCAGAUUAGUUAGUUGGCGGGGUAAUGGCCCACCAAGACGAUGAUCUGUAUCC